rnacentral:rRNA from 1 species
GGAAUAUUGCACAAUGGGGGGAACCCUGAUGCAGCAACGCCACGUGUGGGAAGAAGCAUUUCGGUGUGUAAACCACUGUCGUGAGGGAAUAAGGCCUGUCCUCGGGCAGGAUUGAAUGUACCUCGAAAGGAAGCACCGGCAAACUUCGUGCCAGCAGCCGCGGUAAUACGAGGGGUGCAAGCGUUGUUCGGAAUCACUGGGCGUAAAGGGAGCGUAGGCGGAGAUUCAAGCGGAUUGUACAAUCCCGGGGCCCAACCCCGGACCUGCAGUCCGAACUGGAUUUCUUGGAUAGUUCCGGGGCAGGCGGAAUUCCUGGUGUAGCGGUGGAAUGCGUAGAGAUCAGGAAGAACACCGAUGGCGAAGGCAGCCUGCUGGGGACUUAUCGACGCUGAGGCUCGAAAGCGCGGGUAGCAAACA